AAGUCGUAACAAGGUUUCCGUAGGUGAACCUGCGGAAGGAUCAUUAAUGAAAGUCUGGGUCUUUACCGACCCUCUCUCUUCUACACACUUGUGAACCUUACCCUUCUCUGUCAGGUUCUUUGGGAAACGGCCCUCGGGCUCGGACAUUGACCCGAACGGAGAGUAUUUCAAAAACACAUUCUUUAUGUCUGAUUCUUGUUUUAAACAAAACUAAAUAAAA
rnacentral:misc_RNA from 1 species